rnacentral:misc_RNA from 1 species
AAGGAUCAUUAUCGAAUAAACUUGAACAGGCUGUUGCUGGCCCUCUCGGGGGAAUACGUGCACGCUUGUCUCAUCUUUGUCAUUUUCCCCAACUGUGCACAUCUUGUAGACCCUGGAGCUUUAUGAAUUUGUCAUUCGAGUCGGGACUGCUGUGCCUCCUUGAGGUCGGCUUUUCCUUGCAUCUCCAGGGUCUAUGUUAUUUCUUCACAACCUCUCAAAUGUGUUUAGAAUGUUGAAUCAGGUGCUUUUUGCACCUAAAAAAUGAAAUACAACUUUCAGCAACGGAUCUCUUGGCUCUC